rnacentral:lncRNA from 1 species
GCUCAAUCAAGGCACUCAGACUGCAAGCAUCAGAAAAAGAUGCCCUGAAAACUUUGAACCUAUAUAAUAAGUAAUGGCAGACAUGUAUGUUAUGGGCUUUAGCACAGAUAGGGUUCUACCUUUUUUUUUUUUUUAAUUUUUAUGGUUAUACCUAUGACAUAUGGAGGUUCUUGGGCCAAUAAUCAAAUCAGAGCUGCAGCUGCAGCCUAUACCACAGCCCCGACAAAACUGAGUUGUUUUUGUUUUUUGUUUUUGUUUUUUGCUUUUUAGGUCUGCAUAUGGAAGUUCCCAGGCGAGGGGUCAAAUAGGAACUGCAGCUGCCGACCUACACCACAACCACAGCAACGCAGGAUCUGAGCUGCAUCUGCGACCUACACCACAGUUCACAGCAACAACUCCUUAACCCUUAGAGUGAGGCCAGGGAUUGAACCUGUGUCCUCAUGGAUACUAGACAGGUUCAUUACUUCCGAGCCACAAUGGGAACUCCCUGAGAUGCAUCUUUGAUGUAUGGUGCAGCUUGUAGCAGUGCCAGAUCCCUUAAGCCACUGAGUGAGGCCAGGGAUAAAACCUGCAUCUUCGUGGACACUGCAAUGCCAGAUCCCUUAACCCACUGAGCCACAGUGGGAGCUCUGAGUUCGCCUUUUCACAGUGAUGGUCAGUGACAAAAUUUUCAGAGCCGCUCCCAAGGAAGGAUUCAUUAAAACUAACUCUCAUCCAGGAUGGGAAGUAUAUAAGGCUGGGUAUUCUCUGAACUCGUUACCUUUCCUCUGUUACCCAACUUUGAACCUCCCUACCCAAACCUCUCCCUUCCCCCGUGGCCUUUGUUAGAUGCCUAUAUUGUGUCAGGCACGAAUCCAAGUUAGAAAAUUGUCCCAAGGACCAAAGGGGCCUCCUGGGGCACCAAGCAUACGGAGAGCUCAUGCUUCGAGUGACCAAAGUCAGGAGACUGCAGGGAUCCUUCAGUCACACGUGGUGGGAAAUCGAGGCAGAAACCCAGACGAACUGAACGGAGAAGAGGACAGGUAGAAGCCCAAGGGCACAAAGUCAUUGUACCUCAUUCCUUUUGCACAGGUCACCUGAUGUGUAGAGCACCAAAGAGGAACUCUAAAGCGACGCUUCUGAAAGACCCGUCCCCGCCCCCCCCGCCCCGCCCCCCUCGCCCCGCCCCCCUGGCUGCAUCUCUCCUGAUUGGAUUGGAGGCUUGGUCGGGUAGAUGGCUGUCAGUCAAGUCAGCUUGGGAGAGCUGGUCCAGCUUGCAUGUGGAUAAGCUGCCGGUGGAUUCCCGAGGUGUUCUUUGCUAUCAAGUCACCAGAGAAGCCCCAGGAGAUGUGUUACGUAAGCCAUUGGAAACAGCAGCGAUCCAUAAGAACGGCAGAUUCUGUCCUCAGAGAACCUUGAGAAGAACAGGGGAUUGCUAUCAAGCAAAGAUUUAUUCAACGGAUUAAUUAGCUAAUAUUGCGCAAUCCCCCAAGGAUGCGUGGGAUGGAAGUGACAGCCGCUUGAAGCAUCCCUUCUCACAGAGUCACCGCCUGCAGAAAACUUGACCAUGAGUUGACUGGACCUGCAGCAGAUAAGGGAGCACAAUAAAUGCAUUUCUGUGCGGAUCCGGAUACACUAGGAUUCGACGUUGUGUGUUAUUAUGCUAUAGAACGUAAUAACCUCUUGUGACCUUUGCAACAACUGGAGUUAAGCCUCCAGAUAUUAGGGACUUCAGAAAUAAGCAGGGACCCAAGCUGCCCUGGUAAGGGAAGGUUGUGGCACUGGCACAAGACCUGUCUUGGACAGAAUCCAGUGGAAUAAGAGGUGCUUCAAACUUGAUCAGAAGGGAGGAAGGCAUGGAGCUGGUUUGAAAGGACUGAAAUAUGCUGAGCACAGCUGAAAUUCCCCUCGGGAUUCCCAGGGCUUGUCUGUUUUCCACAGAGGGUGUUGCUAAGGAUGAUGAUGUUUAGAAAUUGUUCUUAGGCAACCAAAUGUUUGAAGUGGCAGGAUCCUUGAGAAACUGGGUCUCGUCACCAGCAGGAGAAUAAUAACUUCUGAGUAAGAGAAUAACUUCAAAGGAAAGGGUGCUCCCGUGAAAACACCUCGUGGAGAUAAUUAGUAUAAAGUUAUAGAGAGACUUAAGUUAGGUUUUCAGAGCAGCUUUCACAUUUUUAACUUCUUUUUAAAGUUUUUUUGUCCCACUUGUACAUAUGUCAUGAUACCCAACACCCUGGGAAUUUUGCCCUGAAUUUCUUUCUAUGUUCGUAAAACUGGUGGACUUUAUGCAGAACAUUCUACACGAUGACCUAUUGAGUACUUUCCUUUAAAAGCUAAAAGACAUCAAGCCCUAAGUAAAUGGCCUGUCCUUCCUUUUUCCUAGACCCUAUUCUAUUCUCUUUCUUACAAAGGAAUAUCCCUUGCUGCUGGAGUCCUGUCCAUCAGUGAGUUUUAUACUCUGAGUUGCCAUGUAAAUCAUACUAAAAUUUCACAGCACAGAACCCUUUCAGCCACACAUCGACACUGUAUUCUAGGGACUUUUGCUGAAGUUCAUGUUUCUCUUUUGGUGACCAGGAUCACACAGAGAACUUUUAGCCCCAUUAGCCACCUCUCUCUGAGCCCAGAUGGAAAUAAACCUUAGGAGAUCCUAAACCCACUCUCAGCACAUUUUCAGCUCUUUAGAGGCUUCCCUAGUUUUCCACCCUUCCUAGGUCAUUCCUGAGCUAAGGUUUAGUUAAGUCCUUUUUUCUUUCUGCUUUUCCCUCCCUCCCUCCGUGCCUUUCUUCUUUCCCUUCUUCCUUUCUCUGCAAACAGUUUUCUGAGGUGCUGUCACACACCUGCCACUAUUAUAGUCAGUAGACAUCUGGCAGUAAAAAGGUGAAUUCAUUGUUGCCAUAGAUGACACAUUCUCAUGAAGCAACCAGAGACGUGCACGCAAGGAUGCUGAAGCAGAGUAAAAUCAGUCGGUCACAGAAGGUUCCCUUUGAGGAGGUGACAUCAAGCUGGAAGCUGGGUGUCAAGAAGGAUGGAGCCACGCAAGGAUCUGAAGAAAUCAGAUUUAUCUUCCUUUACAGAAGAAAAGAGGAAAGUGGUAGAAGUCUUUGCUCAUUCACUUUUGUAUUCAGAAGUAAUUUUAUCUCUGCUAACCAAUGCCAAGUUUAGGAGCAGAGGAAGAAGAAGGAAUAAUAAUGAAAGAGUGGCCUUGAAGUGGCAAAAGUCUGCUCUUUCUGAAGUUGUCACAGCAAAGGAAGAGACUGAAUAAGAGGCAAGUGGUUACCAAGAAUUAUCAAUUCAUGGCAAGGAGCCUAGUGAUCUAUCUAUAUAGGCUUACCUAGCGGCAAUGUAGCCAAUUUUUACUGUAGUAUUUACUUGCAAACUAAGCCAUAAGGGGAAGACCUGAAUAAUUUGAUAUGAUUUCAGUGAUAGUUAAUAUAAUUUGCCCCAAAAUGUAUUAAAUAAAAAUAUAAUCUUUUGAAAGUG